UGCAAGACAAGUCCAAUCUCUUCCCUUCUCUUGGCUCCACUCUGCCCACUAUCAAAAUGGCAUUUUCAUGGCAAUACAAAUCCGUAUUACAUAACUUAAAAAUAAUCUUCAUAGUCCUAGGUCUAUUCCGGAAAAACGUAUUUUAAAAGCAUGAUGGAAGACCAAAGAAUGAGAAAGUAACAUUUUAAUGCGGAGCUUAGUAAUCGCCUAGAAUGAAUGGCGAUAUACGGUUUACCGCAACGUCCAACGAGCAAAGGAGAAGGACAGCAAAAUUCAUGACUAUCUUAAGCAAGCCAGGACAGUGCUAAAAAGCCGAGUCGCCCGGUCUCCCGGUUUCCACACGCGUUCAGAGACACAAACUCACCCGCCGCUGAGGAAACGGUACUGCCUUCGCGGCCUUCGGGGAUCCAGGUUACGAGUGGGCUCCACUGGUUCGAGGUUUCGGCGCGCCGCUCGCCCGGGAGAGUGAGUGCCGAAGCUCCUACUCGCACAGGCCGCAAACACAGCCGCGCUGCGCGGGGAGCUGCUGGAGGUCUUCCUCUUGCCCGGCAUGCACUGCGGCCAGAGGCGUGGAGCGCGGAACCAUAGAGAACGUAUAUAGAUCGUCUCCGCUGUUGGCUCUGACUGAGACGGAAUAACCAUAGAGAAGCAGCGUCUAACCACUACUAGAAAGGCCCGAACUGUAAAUUAUGACCCACCCUGCCAUAUGUGAUUGGAGUCGACUGAAUGUUACGACUACGGGACGCCAUCUUGAGGUCAAGAUUCCUGCCGGGCACCGCGCGAUGAGUGUUUAGAGGAUUUCUCACUUUUCGUAGUUUUUUCGGGGCGUAGAACCUUGCUUUGUAAUCAUUCAUUGAGGUUCGAGGAACUGAUACUGGGCCCGAUCCGCAACCUCAGUGUUAAACUCCAAGUGCUGUGACAAUAGCUAUUCGAGAUCAAGAAAUAAUUGGCAAAAGCUGUGGAAGCUUUUUGAAAAGUAAAAAUUUUUGCGUAGUUGUAGGGUCAAAGAGGUGGCCAGAAGAUGUUUGAAAAAACGUGAAAAGUCCUGUAAUACUAGUUAACACAACUUUGGUCUGUAGUCUAAACGUGCUAAAAGAUCUUAGCUUAAGUUAAUGGAAUGAAUAAAAUUAAUCGCAAAUGAUUAGGUUAUUUGGAUUUUGGACCUUAGAGCCAAUAUCUAGUUAUACACCUUUGUUUCUCAACUGCUUGCUUCUUGGAAGGCAUAAAAUGUAUUCGGUAUAAAGUUAUUGCCUCUCUGAGUGCCUGGCGCUGUGCUAAGUGCUGGCAGUGUGAAGGCAAAUGGAAGUGAGAUUUGUUCCUGUCCUGCAGGAACUGUUGACAAGGCGAAAUAGAUAACAAACCUUGACCACCCUGUAUAAAAUUGAAACAUACCUACGCACUCCCUGCCUGCCUCUCCUACUUAAUUUUAAUCUAAAGCACUCAUAACCAUCUAUUAUAACAUAUUUUUCUUACUGAUUUUAUGGUCUGUCCAUCUCUACCCCACUAGAAUGUGAAUGUCAGCAAUGCAUGGAUUGCCUGUUUUGUGCAAAAACAGGUCCUGGUACACAGCAAGCGCUUUGUUGAGUGAAAUAAAUGAUUACCCGGAGGCUCAUGCCUGUACUCCCAGCACUUUGGGAGGCCUAGGUAGGUGGAUCACCGAGGUUAGAAGUGGAUCACCUCACCAGCCUGGCCAACAUGGCGAAACCCCAUCUCUACUGAAAAUACAAAAAUUAGCUGGGCACGGCCACGGGCGCCUAUAAUCCCAGCCACUCAGGAGGAUGAGGCAGGAGAAUCGCUUGAAGCCUGGAGGCAGACAUUUCAGUGAGUGGAGAUGGCACCAGUGCACUACAGCCUGGGCAACAGAGCAAGACUCCAUCUCAAACAUAAAAGAAAAAAAAAUGAUUAAGGUAUGAUGAGUACCAAGAGAACACAAAAUUUCGUGGGAACACAAUUGAGAAAGUGUCACUCAUUUACAACAAAAGACAUAAACAGAAAUUCUCUCUGGUUACUCUGUGUCCCUUUUCAUUAUUAGAAACAUUGUACAUGAAUUUGUGUUUGCUUGUGUAAUAAAGAGAGUUCCGA